UAAUGUGUAGUGUACUUCUCUAUUUCUGCUUAUUGAAUGACCUAAUAAAUUAAAUGAAUUUACAUUUGUUCUUGUGUAAUUUCCUUUCACCAGGUUUGACCUCUCCUUUGACCCCCAGCACAGCAGUGAAUCCUACAUCAGGUUUGACCUCUCAUUUGGCCCCCAGCACAGCAGUGAAUCCUACAUCAGAUUUGACUGUUAGUCCUACUUUGACAACUGACACACCAACGAGUCCAACUGAAAGUGAGUAUGGCCACACGAUUUUUGUUUAUUGGUGUUGACUAAGUUGUGAUGUGUGUUAACUGUUAACAAACUGUCUCUAUCUUGCAUGUGCACAGGAGGUCAAAGCUCCACAGACAGCAUUGUGAAUUCAAACAGUCAAAAAAGAGUUUGGGGUAAGUGUCCUUAUUUAGUAAUUCCACAGCAAAAAUGCACUUGUCUUUUUCUGCUAGCUCUGACUUUGCUGAUAACUACUUUGUUGAGGGAAAAUGUACUUGUUGUGAUUGUGAUAUGUUGUUGCCUCACCAAGCUAUCUUCAAAUGAAUGCACGUAAGUCGCUCUGGAUAAGAGCCUCUGCUGAAUUACUUGUCGCGGAAAUUACCAUCAGGGACACCUGAAGUCAAUAUUAAAUGAAUAAUUAUUUAUUAUCAACAAGCUGGAGAGGUUCCAACAAACUUAAUGUACCAUAGUACACGUUGGUCAGGAGCUCCACCGGGGAAGUCCCAUUAGUUGUCUUAUAUACUGCUGAAACAGACAAGUUAUAUUUGCAAGAUU
rnacentral:lncRNA from 1 species